rnacentral:rRNA from 1 species
GAUGAACGCUGGCUACAGGCUUAACACAUGCCAGUCGAGGGGAAACGACGGGGAAGCUUGCUUCCCCGGGCGUCGACCGGCGCACGGGUGAGUAACGCGUAUCCAACCUGCCUCUGACUGAGGGAUAACCCGUCGAAAGUCGGCCUAAUACCUCAUGGCAUCGUCUGCGGGCAUCCAACGACGAUUAAAGAUUUCAUCGGUCAGAGAUGGGGAUGCGUCUGAUUAGCUUGUUGGCGGGGUAACGGCCCACCAAGGCGACGAUCAGUAGGGGUUCUGAGAGGAAGGUCCCCCACAUUGGAACUGAGACACGGUCCAAACUCCUACGGGAGGCAGCAGUGAGGAAUAUUGGUCAAUGGGCGAGAGCCUGAACCAGCCAAGUAGCGUGCAGGAGGACGGCCCUAUGGGUGGUAAACUGCUUUUAUGCGGGGAUAAAGUGAGGGACGUGUCCUUCAUUGCAGGUACCGCAUGAAUAAGGACCGGCUAAUUCCGUG